GAUGAACGCUAGCGGCAGGCCUAAUACAUGCAAGUCGAACGGUAACAUGAGUAGCAAUACUUGAUGACGAGUGGCGCACGGGUGCGUAACGCGUAUGCAAUCUACCUUUAACUGGUGAAUAGCCCGAAGAAAUUCGGAUUAAUACACCAUAGUAUAUUUGAAUGGCAUCAUUUAAAUAUUAAAACUCCGGUGGUUAAAGAUGAGCAUGCGUGACAUUAGCUAGUUGGUGAGGUAAUGGCUCACCAAGGCUACGAUGUCUAGGGGAUCUGAGAGGAUUAACCCCCACACUGGUACUGAGACACGGACCAGACUCCUACGGGAGGCAGCAGUAAGGAAUAUUGGACAAUGGUCGAAAGACUGAUCCAGCCAUGCCGCGUGAAGGAUGACGGCCCUAUGGGUUGUAAACUUCUUUUGUAUGGGAAAAAACCCUUCUACGUGUAGAAGGCUGAUGGUACCAUAAGAAUAAGGAUCGGCUAACUCUGUGCCAGCCGCCGCAGUAA
rnacentral:rRNA from 1 species